rnacentral:lncRNA from 1 species
CUUGUGCCACGGUGGCCCAAAUGUCAGUCAACCAGACAUGUCUUCUGAGAGGUAAGUUUUUGAAAAAUACUAGACUUUUCUCAAAUGUAUUUCUUUACAGGAAUAAAAAGAAAGCUAAUUUUGCAUGAGCAUGCAGGAAGUCUGCAGACAGACAUUCUACAUAGUCCCUUGGGGACUCAGUAGAAGUGGAAUCAAGACCAACCCAAGCCCAACAAGGCAGCUCCGCUGGUUAAUGCCUCCCAGAUCUGUCAUCUGUGAUAAAGAGCCUCGCUGUAGCUGAGGAGCUGGCCAAGAACCUUUCCCAGUUAGCCAAGUUCGUGAAGAAGUCACAUGUGGUGAAUAUAUUAUCAUCAGAAUGCGGAGCAAUGAAAUGUAAACAGAUAGGAAUCGUCACUAAAGCUCCAACUGCAGCCUCCGGGUGCCAUAGCUUUUGCACCAUCCAUUUGCACCAUCUCUGCAGUAAGUCCUAGCUCAAGCCUUACUCCAAAGUACAAAUUAGCAUAGCAGCUCAGUCAACAAUGCCUCCGAGCUUCUGGAAAGAAAGAUGCUCAGUCACCAUAGACCCAGAAUUAAUGAAAAGUCACAGAAAUAAUAGCUCCAUUCUCUACUUGCUUCUGAACCUCAAAUCAGUGGUUGGCAACAAGUUGCUCUCAAUCACUGCCACGAGUCUGGUGAUGCGCUAAGCUCGGGGCAGGAUCUCAAGGGCUUUGAGGAUGUCUGCAUCAUCUGUAUUGACCUGCUCCCCAGAUUAAUACCGAAGCACUGCAAUUUCUUGAGGAUUAUCCACCUAGGAGGAAAUGAUACGCUGGCCCAUCCAUAGUAGUCAAGGUUUCUUGGAAGAGAAGAAUGAGAUUGGAUCUGAGAAAAUGUGGCUGGGAACCACCAUCUCAGAUGGUAGAAACCACUCAGAAGGAUCAACUGCUGCAGACGGGAAGAGGAGCAACCUCGUGAAUAAUUUCGUGACAGGAUAUUGCAGGAGGGACUUUGUCCAAAUGUGUGCAGGGUAGUUGGCUACAGCAACAAGGAUGACGAACACAGAUGAAUUGAUCAGGAUGUAACCAUUCAAAGUUGAGAGGAUUAGAGGACUUCUCCGAGGCGGCUCCAAUGGAUGCCAGCAGAGUUAAAGUGUCCAAUGGAGAGAAGAGAAGGCUUGGGAAAUCCAGAGUCCAUUCAUUCAUCGCCCUCCUCCUAGAACAACAAAAGCGAGCCCCAGUACUCAUCAGCAUGGACUCUGUGUGUAGUCAUCUCCCUUAGUUUCAGAGGUUCCUGCCUACAGCAAAACUUUAGAGGCUUAGAGUUUAACGGUCAUAGCUUAUUCACCUCCAACUGUGUCCUAGUUCAAGAGAAACACUUCACAUAUCUGUAGGGAGAAGAUAAUGAACCAAGGAUACAAGUUAAGCCUUAGCUAAGACCUGUUACUCAGGAAAAAGAGCUAAAACAAGCUGCUUAGAUCAGCACCAAUGUUAGGUAGAGAGAAAAAGAAACGCUGCAUAGAAAUCUUAAGGUUCACAUGUGCUCCAGGCUGGGUCAACAACUUCUAAUUUCCUUUGCCAACCAACCAUGUCUUUGACAGAAAUGAUCCUUCUACAUAGACCACAGAGGGAUCCAAUGGAGGUUUCUCUUCCUGAAUUUGGGGAUUCAGAAUCUGGACAAAUUCCUUUCCAUCAAAGUCCAGUACAAAAGUAGUACCAUGGCAGUCCCUGCAGGGACUUGCAUCACUUUCCCUAGAGAUAUCAAGAGAAUUUUUAGUGAUAAGAAUAUGGCACAAAAUGAGAAAUCCCAUUACUCUUAAGAGAAUCUCUUCCUUCUCAAAGGCACCUGAUUAAUACAUAUAGUACUAUCAGUAAGGCUGAGCAAAAGGAUACUGAUGUUCUGAGUGAUCUUAAAUCAUGUAAUAAUAACUUUAUUCGUAGUAUAGAACGGAAUAUUCCCUAUUAGUAAUCAGUUCCUUUGCCAGAUCCUCAUAGUAUCUUAGUCACUGUUUUAUUGUUAUGAAGAGAAACUUUGACCACAGCACCUCUUAGAAAAAAGGAAGCAUUUAAUCGGGACUUCCUUAUGGUUUCACAGUUUUACAUAAUUGUCAACAUGGCAGAGAACAUGGGGGCACGCAAACAGACAUGGUGCUGGAGAAGUAGCGGAGAAUAUACAGCAACAUAUAGAUACAAAAUAUAGAUACAUAUAGAUACAGAAUAUAGAUACAUAUAGCUACAUAUAGAUCUGCAGGCAGCAGGAAGAGACUGGGACAAGGCCAUACCUUCUAAGGCUUCUCAAGGAGUGUCACUUCCUGAUGACCAAGCAUUCAAGUGUAUGAGCUUAUGGGAGCCAUUCUUAUUCAAGCCACCACACAUAGCAAAGCUGAUAAUGUCAUUUUCUGAAUUAACCAGGCCAAGGCACACUUCUUAGCAACAUGGUUACCUGGUAACCAGAGAUUUUUCUCAUCCCAUGAGAGAUUUCAUUCAAGAACUGAUCUUCUAACAGUUUUGUCUCUCUUAAGAAUGCUACAGACAGGGUGGGGUGAGGCACAGUGCUGAAGCCCCUCAAGUUUCCCAGAGGGAUGAGUCCAUGAAAGACGAAAAUCAUGUGGUCACACUGAGCAUAGACUUCACAAGCAUCAUGCUAGGAUUCCAUUUUCUUUCUCAACACAAUGAUAAAUUCUUCUUCCAAUAAGCAGAAAAUCAUCCAAUGGGAAAAAAAAAUAAAACCAACUAACUUGCAGUCCUUUGGAACAGUUUCAUAGCUUACAGGAUGGCUUCAUAACCCUGGGGACACUCGUUUUGACAUGAAAACUUCCUUCAGAACAGGAAUUCUGAUCCAACAUGUGCUCAGACAUCAUUUCAGUCACUUGCAAAUGAACAAGAAAGCUCAUGUAAAUGAGGAGGCUCAACUCCCAGGCCUGGUGAGUGGGUAAGACAUUCCUCUGCUGGGUUUUGAAGGCUGUCUGAAACCAUCGGCUGACAUCCUUCUCUGUGUGCAUGUAUGCACUAUCUACGGGAAAUUCAGCUCCAACCGGUUGUCUCUACAGCUCCCUUAAUCUUCUCCUCCCUCCUCCUGGCAUUGGCAUGUGUCCCAGGACUGCAGCGAGGAGUGCUUACCAACAAAGGUGCUGGCAUCUGCAUUUGUUUCACAGCCACAAACCUAAUGGUUCCAUGAUUUUGGCGAGCAAAACUGUCAAAAUGCCUGAGCACAAGAGAUCACAAGAUGAGCCAAGGCAUAGUGUGCAUGCCUUCCUUCCCAGCACUCGGAAGGCAGAGGCAAGGGGAUCUCUGUGGGUUCAAGGCCAGCCUGAAUCACAAGGUGUACUGGGGAUUCUUUUUUAUUGUUUUCCUUUUGCUAUCUGGAAUAGUUUGAGAUUGUAUUUGAUCAGUGCAUUAAACAAC